CUAGACUUUAACAAGGUUUUUCUACUUUACCUCUUUUAAUUUCCAAUUUCUGUCAUUCCUCAUAAAUGGUGUAUGUAGCGGAAUACCUGGUAGCCCGACUGGUUACCUGUGCUAUUUCUCUUCCUUCAGCUGAACAGGAACCAUUUAGGAUAAAGAGACCCAUUUCCCCCCCAGUAACUGGACGUCACCCAGUUCUGGAGGUACAACAACC